rnacentral:rRNA from 1 species
AAUAUUGCGCAAUGGAGGGAACUCUGACGCAGCGACGCCGCGUGAGUGAUGAAGGUCUUCGGAUCGUAAAGCUCUGUCCGUGGGGACGAAGGUCUUCGGACUCGUCGGUACCUAAGGGGGGAACCCCGGCUAACCACGUGCCGCCAGCCGCGGGAAUACGUAGGGGGCAAGCGUUGUCCGGAAUUAUUGGGCGUAAAGGGUGCGUAGGCGGCCUUUUAAGUCAGAUGGGAAAGCCCACGGCUUAACCGUGGGACUGCAUUUGAAACUGGAGGGCUUGAGUAUCGGAGAGGGUAGUGGAAUUCCCAGUGUAGCGGUGGAAUGCGUAGAUAUUGGGAGGAACACCAGCGGCGAAGGCGACUACCUGGACGAAAACUGACGCUGAGGCACGAAAGCUAGGGGAGCAAAC